AGGCGGUAGCCUAGUGGUUAGAGCACCUCGAUCAUAACGAGUGGGCGUUGGUUCGAAUCCUGGUUCUA
rnacentral:tRNA from 1 species